CCCAAGCCCGAAUGAAAAAGGUGGAGGGUUGCUUAAGGCCAUAAAAAGCCAGUGUUGAAAAUAUGUUAGUACUCAUAAGCAUGAUCCUAAUUGUUUCAUGGUAAGACUAGUCCGUCACAAUAAAUUGAUGCAACAUAUAUUGACCUCUCCAGUUAUUAUGAGAAAUAGAGUUUUCUGUUCCUAAUUCUAACAUUUAAAGUGCCCAUUAGUUCUUUAAAUCAAGGUCUGCAAUACCGAAUGAUACUGCUCGUACCGGGUGGUACAUACCGGUCCGUCAAUAGACCAGUACACGGACCGCCCGCUACCGAGCGGUACCAUCAAUUAAGGCAUUAUCGUUAUCGAUUGAGGUGUUAUUAUCGACGGUGAUCGAGGGAGAAGAAAGAAGAGGGAGAAGACGAAGAAAGAAAUAGGAAAAAAAGGUAGAACCUGGAUGUCACCUCUCUCCUCCUCGUCUGUCGACGACUUCUCAUCUGUGCGCGGGAGAAGAGGCAUCGGCUUGUGGGGCGGAGAGAAGCGAAGAUUUUUUUUUUCUUCUCUUCUUGGGCAAUGUCGCCUCGGGCAUCAUCGCAAUAUUUUUGUUUUUUAGAUGUAAUUUUUUUUUUAUCUACGACGUCGCCCCGCAUAGAGGUAAACUGUGCGGUUUACCUAUAUAUAUAUAUAUAUAUAUAUAUAUAUACACACACACACACACACAGCGGUAUACCAAAAUAUACCACUCGGUAUAUAGUAUCAUACCGUAUCGAAUAAGUCUUGAAAUUUUGGUAUGGUACAAAAUUUCAAUCCUUGAUUUAAGUGACUUCUUUUAUGGACUAACAUGCAAAUAUCGGGACUGUGUAACUUAUAUAUCAUGAACUAUCAUUGUCCAUAAUGUAAGUUACUCAUCUAAGAAACCAACAAGUAUGCUUUCUGUGGAUGAUAAUUGUUAGGAUGGGAAACCACAGCAUGUGGAUAAGGUUCUUAAUGGUGAAAUUUUAUAGGUUGGAUCAAGGUAUGCAAUACCAUACCGUAUUAGUAUUUCGAGGUUGGCUCGGUAUGGUACAGUAUCGUAUACCGAGCGGUUCGCUAGGGUGUACCAAGCAGUACACCUAAUUUAGGUGUAAGACCCUCCGAAAAUACCUAAAAAAAAAAAAAAAAAGUUAGGAUAGGAUUUUUAUGUUAGAAAUAAAUAUAGUAAUAGCAUAAGUUUAGUAAAAUCAAUGUAAAUUAGGUAAAAAUAGUAUCACAUAUUUUUUUCAGGCUUUGAAGAAUAUCUUAUGCAAGGUUCGUAUUUCAGUUCAGUACGGAUUAUCCUUAUGUAAACAUACCUCUUGAUUAGAAAGUUCUUCCUUUUAAUCUUCCUAAAUUAGCCUCGAUUCAAUUCACAAAUCGUUGUUUUGUAGAGUUUAGGAGAGCACAAAUGUGAGAAAAAAAGAGUUUGAGAUAGUUUAAGAGAGUAUGAGAAUGUAAUGGAGUGAAAUAAAGGAGAAGAAGGGUUUAAAUACCAUUAGAAAGGGUUCCAAUGGUCAAUUUGACCAUUGGAGCACUGUAUCACUAUUACCGAGCGGUUUUAAAUAUUUCUUCCUCUUACUGUAGCAUUGUAGCACUCUAGCAUGUUCUGUCUGGUAGCGGGCGGUUCGCGUACCGGUAUGUCGUCGGAUCGGUACGUAUCGCCCGUACCGGGUGGUACCAUUCUAAAUUGGUUGGAUCAAGAUUGACAAUCCUUGGAACAUGAUGAGAUAAACUACUCCACUCUAUUUGACUUUGUGAACUAAAACUUGAUGGUCAAUUUUUUUUUUAACUUUUUAUUGGCAGCUGCAAUGACAUAUAUGAAUCUCCAAUUGAAUUGUGAGAGACACAAUGGCUAUGCAGGUCCAUUUCUCAAAGGAUUUGGACUGCCAUUUACAAGGACAAGUCUCCACAUUGUUAGUUACAGAUGUUCUUCUGUUUCUUCUUUGCAUUUUGUUCUGUAAUAUUUUGUGUCAAACAUUGAAAUAAUUAUAGAUGAUGUGUUCCAUAUUACUUAAUAGAAAUUCUUUUGCUUUUUGGCUUUCCACGUGUUCAAAAGUGUUCUUUCUUAGUUUAGAGGAUUCCACAAUAAGUUUAUGAAGAAACUAAUGUUAAUUAAAUUAUUUUUUCAUGCAUAUUAUGUGAAUGGAUAUGGUUUCUUAUCAAAUCAAUUUACAAUCUGAUUUGACAAUUUUGUACUUGAAUAGUUGGGUCUGUCUUCAAUAUUUGAUGAAAUUGUUAAAACUGAAGUAACCAGGCACAUGCAACCUACUGAUUACUUGAGCUUGUUUGGGGAAGAAUUCAAAUGAACUGAAGAUUAUUGGGAUGCUUCUUAUUUGAAUGUCUUGGAUAUAUCUGCAGCGGAAGAAGGCAGUCCUCAUGUCUUAUUUGGAUGUGCUUCACAAGCAAAAGCAGCAUGUGUAUUGAUUGAUUUAUGCUUUGGACCAUUAUCACCAUGGAUAUAUACAAUUACUGCAAAGGUUGAUCUUGCAAUUGAACUUUCGGAGGACCUCUUGGUGUUAUUCAAGUGGCUGAUCAAGAGUCUUUAGCUGUUUCUUCUGACUUUGUGAUAUGUUCUCAUGGGGCUUCUAGCACAUCCAGUAAUCCAGAUGAAGCAAAGAGAAAGAUUGAUGCGUCUAAAGCUACCACAAGAAAAGAUGUACUCCAAGAUGCUAAUCUGUAGUUUGCGCCUAGAGAUCUGUCAAAAAUUGUUCUGAAAAGUGUUUCCAAUUAUUUUACGGGGGACUGGAUCAGAUUGAAUUUCGGUUGUGGUGUUUCAGAGGUGAAUAAGAUUUCAAAUAACAACUUUCAGAAUAUUGGUUUCUUUGCUGAUUACUCAAUUUGAACGUUUGGCAGCUGAUUUGUGUUCCCAGCAUGACAUAACCCCAGAAAGCCAUGAAGCUGCAAUAGAAGCCAUACUCUUGGCUGCAGAAUGUUAUGUCAACUCAUUCUUUAUAAUCGAUUUCAUAUGGAUGCAAUUCAGAGCUUAUGAAUCAGAUGAAAAUCAUUGGAUCCAAAUUCAAGAAUAAAAAUGGAUUAGUGGUGUUUUAUGAAGACCUUAAGAGAUGUAAUGUCAAUCUGGAGACAAUAGCUUAUCUUGAAAGUUAAAGAGAUAUAACUGUUCUACAAAUUCUGCUUCUGCUAAACUGGACCUUGAAUCUGGGAGAAUUUUGGCUCUUGGGAAACCUUGUACAUAUUAUUUUGAAGGUAAUCAGCAGGCUUUGGAAAUAUCACAAGUCGACAUUGAAUCAGCUGAUGUGGCAACAUUGAUUAGGCAGAAUCAACCAUUGCUUUGUCACUUUGUAAUCCUCCUUCAGAGUCUCCCCUCUUUCUACUGCAUUCUGCAACUGAGUUAUCCUGUUCUGUAGAGAAUGUUAAUGACAUUAUACUGCAGUCAGCUGCAAAUCUUAGUGGACAAAUUACAACUUUGUACACCCAACUGAAAGCAAGCAACAUACAGCUUGAAAUGGAAAAGUUACAUGGGCCGCAAAGGUGCUGGGCACUUCUUGAAAGAUUAAUAAUAACAUCUUCUGGAAAUGAUGAACGGACAUAUCCCAUUGGCAUCAAAAGUGCUGGUUUCAUCUACAGAACUUUAUUCCACAUUUAUCGUGGAUGCAGAAAAUAUCCAGAUUUUCAAGUUGCAUAUGUCCAUUUUCUAGAUUUUUAGGAUGGAUGUCAGUAUCUUGAAAUGCAAAGCAAUACUUGAAGGGACACAUGUUUAUUACCUCUGAUCUUUCACAAAUUUUAUCAUUUUUUUAUCAAAUUUUGCGGAUGAGUUAGCACUUACCGAUAAUUUAGUAAAAGAAUUUUUAAUCUGCA